CAGCCGCCACGGGAAAACCAGCUCUCCGAGUGGUGUGGACGUUUAUUGGGCCUAAAGCAUCCGUAGCUGGCUGAACAAGUCCCCUGUUAAACCCACCGAUUUAAUCGUUGGCGUGCGGGGGAUACUGCUUGGCUAGGGGACGAGAGAGGCAGACGGUAUUCCCGGGGUAGGGGUGAAAUCCUAUAAUCCCGAGAAGACCACCAGUGGCGAAGGCUGUCUGCUAGAACGCGCCCGACGGUGAGGGAUGAAAGCUGGGGGAGCGAACCGGAUUAGAUACCCCGGUAGUCCCUGUCUCUUAUAC
rnacentral:rRNA from 1 species